GCCUGGGUGGCUCAGUCGGUUAAGCGUCUGACUUCAGCUCAGGUCACGAUCUCGCGGUGAGUUCGAGCCCUGCUUCGGGCU
rnacentral:tRNA from 1 species